rnacentral:tRNA from 1 species
GGCCAUAGCUCAGUGGCAGAGCAUCUGCCUUGCAUGCAGAACAUCACAGGUUCAAUCCCCGACAUCUCCA